rnacentral:rRNA from 1 species
UACUGCUUUUUUUAACUAUUUUGUGCAAGAAUAUAUUAUAGUACCUUUUGUAUCAGGGUUGUUUAAUUAAAAGAGUGAUUUAUAUUUCUCGAUAUUAAAUGAGUUAAAUAAUAAUUUCUGUGUUGAAUAACUGUGUUAAUUUAUUUAGUAGUGAAAAUUUUUCGUAGUUAAAGGUAUCUUGUUAUUGUAGUGUCAUAAUAGAAGGGUAAGCUUUUUAUUUAAGUAUAUAGUUAUGUGCGUGUGAUAAAUUAGGAUUAAAAUUAGCCAUAUUGUUAAAUUGUUUUAAAUUUUUUAUGUCCCGGAGGAUAGAAAUUGCUUACAGGCGUAAUUAAUGGAUAUAAAGUAAUUUAAUUUAUAAUGAGUAAAUUAGUAUUUUUGUAUUUCUAUAAAUUAUAACUCGCAGUUUGUAGAAUAGUUUAUCAAAAACAUUUUUUUAUUUAUAUGAAAUAUGGCCUGCCCAGUGUAGGAUAAACGGCUGCGGUAUUUUGACUGUGCUAAGGUAGCAUAAUAAUUUGUUUUUUAAUUGAAGGCUGGAAUGAAGGGUUUUAUCUAUGAUUAGGUUAAGUAUAGAGUAAAUAAUUUGUGUUUGUAGUAAAAACACUGCAAUUUAGUAAAGUGACGAUAAGACCCUAUAAGCUUUACUUAUUAAAUAAACGGGGUUAAUAAUUUAAUAUUUUUUUAUUUAUUGAGUUUUGCUGGGGCAGCAGUGUUAUUUAAUUUAACAGGAAAGUUACACAGAUAUGUGAGUGUAUGAUCUUUAAGAUUAAGAUAGGAAGGAAAAGUUACUGUAGGGAUAACAGCGCGAUAAUUUUGGAGAGGCCUUAUUGAUGAUAUUGAUUGCGACCUCGAUGUUGAAUUAAAAUUUCUUUUUGCUGCAGCAGGUAAGGAAGAGGGUUUGUUCAACCUUUAAAUUUUUACAUGAUUUGAGUUCAAAUCGGUUUAAGCCAGAUUGGUUUCUAUCUUUUAUAUAAUAUGAUUUGUGUAAGUACGAAAGGGACACGUAAAUUUUACUA